AAUAAACCGCAGGUUCAAAAAGGCUGGUAAAGGGAAUGCUUUAUGUGAAACACACUGCAAUCCUGCGCUACUUUAGCUGGAAGUAAGCCCCAUCAAACUCUGUGGGCAUUGCCUUUUGAACAGGCAUGUAUGGGGUUGCUGCUUCCUAAAAGUGCCUUAUGAAUGCUGCUGCCAUUAUUAUUGCCCAAGAGGAUACUAGAUAAGCAGUAAUAGCUAUGCUUAUGGUCCCUAAAACAUGUUAAAUCUCUCCUAACAUUAGCGAUUUAAUAGACAAAGCAUGUUGCCCUUCAGAGACCUCUACAAUGCUUUGACCAAUAUGGGGUCGCCUUUUCUGUUUUUACGAAGAACAUGAUUUUAACUCCUGGGAAUUCUUAGAAAACCUAUUUGUCGCGGAGCUAGUUUUCCUUCAGAGACCUCACCUUUAACCAGGAAACGCAACUCCCCCUUCUGGCUUAAUGUCUUACGGAAAAUACUCAACGAGGUGGGGAAACUACAUGUCCCAGUAUGCAUUGCUUCACCGUGCCCAAAUUGAGAGUUGCAUUUUGGGAACGGAGUUAGGGGAGAAGAAGAGAGAAAUGGAAAAAUGUCUGCCAUGUCUUGGCUUGUGGAGGGGUUGGGCUUGCGUCGCGUCUGCGGACUGUAGUCAUUUUGCUUUUGCAAAUUAAUCGUACAUGUUAGCUUGGUGAAAUACCUACGUUCUCCUCCAACACACAUCUUAAUAGAUUCCCGACAGAGCAGAGUUCCUGCCGCUUUAGUAACUAUUACGACAGGCAGACCUUUAUCAAUGGAAGCUUUUACCCACUGCUCCAUCUCCAUACUGGGAAGGGGAGAACUAUACCUGAUGGAUUUCUGCCUUUGGCUCAGCGGUGUAAAAGGGCACAAGCAGACAUGUGGAAGAGGGCAUACUUUUUCAGGGCCUCGGCCCAAGCUGCAACCACAUUGCCAGAAGGAAACAAAUUGAGAAUAAAUUGUAGCUCAUAGAUUGGAGUAUUUAUAGAAGGUUGUUUCCAUAUCUAUGCACUGCUUGUCUAGAGCUUGUGAAGUUUUCUAGAGUCAGUUGGAAGUAGCAUUUGAACAGAACACUCCAAAGAGUAUGUUGCUGGCUCAGGCCUUUCUGUAGAAGCAGCAUGUCUGCUUGCACUCUUAAAUAAGGACAUGCUGUUUGAGGGAGAUAAAAUAUAUUAAUGCUUCUCUGUAUUCCAUGCUCUCCUAAGAACUACCUGUCCCAGAGUUUUUUAUGCAGCGACUAGAGUGAGGGACAAUGUAGGAGGAGAAAAGCAGCCGAGGAGAAAAAAAGAUUGAUCCCACGGAUGAGAAAUGUAGGAGGAGAAAAGAAGAUUGAUCCCACGGAUGGUGGGAGCCAGUGCUGCUGGCAUUGCCCAAGUUUAGCCUACCGAUCUUUCUGAGGGUCUUCCUUACAAAAUGCUACAUCUGGGGGGAAACCCCCCUAAAUCUUCAAGUCUACUUUUGAAAUAGAGUAUGAUGCACCCCCCUCUGAGUAUCUAAAUGAUACUUUUUAUGAAAAAAUGGGCAAGCGAUUUUCAGUGAAAAAUUCUCAGACAGGGUCAUAAGUAACUGAGCACCAUAGCAGACAGAACUGGUGAGUGAGCCAUAUAGCACAGAGAAUGGUUGGGGUCACACAAUGCAGCAAGCCCUGGGUGGGUUAUAAAGCACCCCCAUCCAACUAUUUCGCCUGGCAUUCCCAGGGUGAGACUAGCAGGCACAGCACAGGGCCUGAGCUACCUCCUUCCCCUCAGUUCUUCCAAAUGUCUCCCACGAGAGCACUGAGUUUUUCUCCCCUCCCCACUGCUGCUUGUUGGCAGAGGCAGAAGGGCAGGGAAGAGGGCUACUGACAACCUUUGCCUUGACUCACAGGCCUGGUCAACCUCAGCAAGGGCUCUUGGACUCUGCCAGUCUGGAGUGGGCCAAGCGGAGCUGCUUCCCUGCCUGGGGCCACCUCAGAGUGCCACCGUACUAGGCAGAAGUGGCAUUGUCUGCUUGGCCUGCUCCUGAUUAGACCGAGCAGUGCAGGGCUUGGCUCUUUCUGUCUGGUGCUGCUCCUGAGAGGCAGCAUCCACGAUAAUUUCAACUGAACCGAUCCGCAGCAUGCACAACAGCCAAGCUGAGCUGAUCAUACCUCCACAACCCUGUGAGUGGCAGUGUGGGCCAAGAGGAAGCUAACAGCCUCCCAUCAAGUGCUUUGGGACCAGCUUGGAGGCAGCAGUCAGUUGCUUGCUAGCAGAAGGGGUUUCUUGCUGCUCUUGCCAAAUGGCUCUGCAGCUGUUUGGGUCACCCCUUGGCUUGUUGGGUCAUCCUGGUUCAAACAGCAUGACAAGCCCAGGGGUGGCCACUAACUCCCCAACUAUCCAUACAUGGCUUAAUGAACCCAGAACCUGAGCUGAUAAAUCUCCCCAAAUAAGUCAUGGUGGGUUCACACAACUCGCCAAGACCCUCUGGCUUUAAGUCCAUGACUAAGAACAUGUUGCAUCCAAUAAUUUUUAGAAAGGGUCUCUUCAUAAUUUGAGUUGAGCAUAUGUGGUUCCCUACUUUCAGUGUUCCUAUUGCUAUCCAUGAUGCAGGGGAGCCCAAGUAGUUCUGGAAAUAUUUUAUGCCUUUACCUCUUUUAGGUUUCCCAGAUUAUAUGCUAAUUUCUCAAAAAGAACCUUUUAUCAGACCUUUUCUAGCCAUUGAUUUUCUGGAACUUUGUCCCCUGUUUUCCAGAGAGACAUGAUCUCAAAAUGUGCAGCAGUGAAAGGAAGCCUUACCAAGUCUUCAUACAACUAUUCAUUUUCUUUUUGAAAUACUGACAAUAAAAUGAACAUUCCACAGUG